UACGGAGGGUGCAAGCGUUGUUCGGAAUUACUGGGCGUAAAGAGCGUGUAGGCGGUUUGGUAAGUCGGAUGUGAAAGCCCUCGGCUCAACCGAGGAUGUGCAUUCGAUACUGCCAGACUUGAGUGUCGGAGGGGGUGGCGGAAUUCCCGGUGUAGAGGUGAAAUUCGUAGAUAUCGGGAGGAACACCUGUGGCGAAGGCGGCCACCUGGACGACAACUGACGCUGAGACGCGAAAGCGUGGGUAGCAAACAGG
rnacentral:misc_RNA from 1 species